AUACCCCAGGUCAGGCG
rnacentral:rRNA from 43 species